rnacentral:rRNA from 1 species
GACGAACGCUGGCGGCGUGCUUAACACAUGCAAGUCGAACGGAAAGGCCCUGCUUUUGUGGGGUGCUCGAGUGGCGAACGGGUGAGUAACCCGUGAGUAACCUGCCCUUGACUUUGGGAUAACUUCAGGAAACUGGGGCUAAUACCGGAUAGGAGCUCCUGCUGCAUGGUGGGGGUUGGACAGUUUCGGCGGUUGGGGAUGGACUCGCGGCUUAUCAGCUUGUUGGUGGGGUAGUGGCUUACCAAGGCUUUGAUGGGUAGCCGGCCUGAGAGGGUGACCGGCCACAUUGGUACUGAGAGACGGCCCAGAGUCCUACGGGAGGCAGCAGGGGGGAAUAUGGCACAAUGGGCGGAAGCCUGAUGCAGCAACGCCGCGUGCGGGAUGACGGCCUUCGGGUUGUAAACCGCUUUCGCCCGUGACGAAGCGUGAGUGACGGUAAUGGGUAAAGAAGCACCGGCUAACUACGUG